CAGCCGCCGCGGUAAUACGAAGGGUGCAAGCGUUAAUCGGAAUUACUGGGCGUAAAGCGCGCGUAGGUGGUUUGGUAAGAUGGAUGUGAAAUCCCCGGGCUCAACCUGGGAACUGCAUCCAUAACUGCCUGACUAGAGUACGGUAGAGGGUGGUGGAAUUUCCUGUGUAGCGGUGAAAUGCGUAGAUAUAGGAAGGAACACCAGUGGCGAAGGCGACCACCUGGACUGAUACUGACACUGAGGUGCGAAAGCGUGGGGAGCAAACAGGAUUAGAUACCCCCGUAGUCCCUGUCUCUUAUAC
rnacentral:rRNA from 1 species